AUGUGGAGUCACAGCAUUAUAUGCAAAAAGAAUAAUGCCCUCACUCCAGAGUCUGAACCAGAACUGACCCUCAGUGGUGACUCCCCCUUUAUUCUAGGAGGUGUUAACAUUAGCUAUGGCAAUGUAAAAACGGUGUUUCUGGAGGCAGUGGGGGCCGAGAAUGGAAAGUCCUCUGCAGCCGUCAACAUGGAGAGUGAGGCAAUGCAGGUGUUGACUCAUGGAACUGGACGAGAAUCUACUACUCCUUCUCUAGGAGAUCUGACCCCAGGGUUGCAGUGUGAUGCUCACUAACAGAAGCUAACUCAAUUGUGUUAUGUCUCUGAUCUUUUCCAAGGACAUCUGGACCCAGGGUCGCAGUGUGAUGCUCACUAACAGAAACUGACUCAGUUGUGUUUCCUGGUUUGGGGGAAUAUCUUUAAUUACUGCAUGAAUAUUUAUAAACUGUUGGGGCUAAAUACGAAAAUUGCUCUUCAGGUGCCGUCUCCACUGAGCCACUGUGUACAUUUUCUUUCUCUCUCUUGCAGCUGUUCUCUUCCUACAAACUGAACGAAAAUGAAAAGGAAGUCAUUUCUGCAUGUGUCACAGAGGCACCCUUUGGUUCUAAAGGGAGCUGAGUUGGAUUCCACAAGCGUAUGGUCCUUGUAGCAUGUGAAUAGGAUUCAGUCAUGGAAGAGAAGGAAGGGCUCGGGGGAUACUGUCAUCGCCCUGUCCAGGCUAACCCUCUAGCUGCCCAGGUGACAGGCUGGCCUGUGUUUGUGUUGUGUAAGUGUGUACAGCUGCUAAUGUAGGGUCCAGAAACAUCUUACAAAGUAAGCCUAUCCCUACCUGUAGCUUUAUGUGGGCAUAAAUUCAUUUCAGUUCUUAACAUGAACAUUUGUACAGUGCUUCCAAGUGAGGGUUUGACUGCCUCACAUCUGGAAUCCUUCAAGUUUAUCCUUCUUGGAGUCAGUGUCGUGAACGUUUUCCCCUAGGUCAAGAGUCUGCUGUCAACAUGAUGUUCUCUAAUUACACGGCUUCAUACAACUCCCAGAUUUGUGGACAUAUAUUUUUGUAUUUAAGGUGUUCCUUCUUUUACUUCUGUUUAUAGUUCAUCCUUGACACUGCUCUUUUCCCACUGCCUUUAUCUCAGUCCUUCCCAAGCUUUC
rnacentral:lncRNA from 10 species